GGAGCCAUAGCUUGGUGGUAGAGCAUCGGCCUUGCAUGCAGAAAGUCCCGGGUUCAAUGCCCAUCAUCUCCA